rnacentral:lncRNA from 1 species
GGGGGCGGGGAAUCUGCUGAGGAACGGCGCUUUAUAAAUCAAAAGAUAAUAAUAACAGAGCUUACGGUGAGCACCGGAGGCUGGAAACGGGGUGGCAUCCGCUCGGGGCGGGGCGGCGUCGCCAGCGAAUGACAACACUGCCCCCUGGUGGCCGAUGCGGCCAGGCCCGAGAGAGCGCAGGCCGGGUGCGAGCCAGGCUUCCUCACCACGCGGCUUCCCCACUCAUCCCAUAGAAACCGUAACUGAGCAAAUGACGAGGCCAUCCUGAUGAGUACGAGGUGGUAGAGCUGCCUGCUUUUUGAUUAAUGUGACGAUCACACCCUCUGCCUGGGAGUUUUACAGACUGGUGAUGACUUUUUGUGGCAUCUCAGGAAAGAACAUAACUUCGUGGACGUCCUUAGUCAGAAUCUACUCAGUGUAUCUACUCAGUAUAGGCUCACAUGAGCCCUCACCUUCCCAGGGAGUCACAACCUCUACUAUACUUCUUCUUUCUGCUCUGCCCCCCACAAACGGCCCUGCCAGCCCUCACCACCUAGAGGGAGAUUGGGAGCCGGUAGAGGAAAGACACCCUGAAUCCCCGAGGUCAAGCAAAGCCCUGGGGAGGCGCCGUGGGAUCCCUGCCUCGGGCCUGCCUAGACAGUAUGUGAAUGAGUAUCCCAGAGAUUCUCCCCGCUGUGACCUCGAGGGCCAGCCUGCCUGUGUGGCCGUGAGCUGCUUUCUUCCCAGAGGAACUUGCUUGCGGCAGCAGGACUCCACAGCCUCAGGGGCAGCUUGGGCCUCGGCAAAGUGGGGAGCUGCCUCGGUCCAGCAGGGGUCCAGAUCACCUCCUCAUUUAGAGGGACCAUGUCUCUAGAGAGAUGACAUGCCAAAAACGGAAACCUCACAGGAGCUUUUUGUCCACCUGCAAGCGAGGUGCAGACACGUUUGAGAUGGUGGAUGGACUUUUUUUUUUCUCUUUUCUCUCUUUCCAAAAUCUGGACACACCAUGGCCCAGUGAUGGAGAAGAAGUCGAGGACCUGUCAAGGAUCUUCUUUCUUAGGAGUGGCGGAGGGCUGACCAGUCUCAAUAAAGCACAGGGGGAGCCCCUGUGACCCAGCGUCUGGGUGGCAGCCUGUGGACAAUCUGCAGCUCAUCUGGAUCACGCAGCUCAGCUGAACUCACAGCCCGAGGUCCAGCACUGCCCAGGGGCUGGCAGCCGUCCUGCUUGGGUGGGGCUCUGCAGGAUGGGCAACCACACGACGGUCUCCCUGGGAGCCUGGGAAAAGGGAGGAUUCACAGAUUACAAGGGGACAAGACCCUGUUGGACAAAAAUGACCAAGUGGGAAGCUGCCUAGCUCUGACCAGGUCUGGGAACACACUGGGAUUGGAAGUCAUCUAAAUAUAGCCUGUUUAUAGACUGCGAUCUGACUUUCUCAGGCACUGUUUGUAUGAGAGCUGGUAACUAUAGCACAAUUUUUCUAAACUGGUCAUUUUCAACACUGACUUUUUAUUUGCAUUUGAAAUGAUUUUAUUAUUGGCACCAGAGAACUAGAACCUCGGACUAUUGCUGUGGCUGAAAGCUACGCACAGCUUUCCAUGAAAUCUUAAUUUAUCAGCCUGUUUGGGUGUUUGAACAUUUAAAGCAAGCAAGAUAAAAGAAUCUGAAGG